rnacentral:rRNA from 1 species
CCUACGGGAGGCAGCAGUGGGGAAUCUUAGACAAUGGGGGAAACCCUGAUCUAGCCAUGCCGCGUGAGUGACGAAGGCCUUAGGGUCGUAAAGCUCUUUCGCUGGGGAAGAUAAUGACUGUACCCAG